AGAGUUUGCGUUUGCCAAAAGGAUGGGAUUUUUUUUAACUCUGGUUCUGGGAAUUAAGAGGAAGAUGUUUGCUAAGAAGCGCUAAGUCGAGAAGGCUUUGAUGAAGAAGACAUAAGCUUCCUAUACAUCUCUCUAGUUUCUGAGUUCUUACUGAUGUAUCCAUGUUGUUGUUAUUGUCUUUCCAAUUUAUAAUCAGUUCAUAAUCGUGUGGUGCGGUCGAAAUAAUAGGCCAGUUUUAGUGGUUAGAGACAAUGAAGUUUUUUUGUUUUGAGCUUAGUUUCUUGAAACAAAUUCAUAGUUGUAUUUAAUGCUCAACUGUAUAAAAUUGUAAGCAAUAGAACUAAUUCUUUUUUCAGGCCAAAACAACAAAGAAGAUUGUGUUGACACUUCAAUGCCAGAGCUAUAAGCAUUAUUCACGUCAUCCAAUAAAAAGAUGCAAGCACUUUGAGAUUGGAGGAGACAAAAAGGGCAAGGGAACUUCUCUCUUCCCGUUUGUUUUUUUUUUCCAAAUUUUAGG